rnacentral:rRNA from 1 species
UACGUAGGUGGCGAGCGUUGUCCGGAAUCAUUGGGCGUAAAGGGAGCGCAGGCGGGCAUGUAAGUCUUUCUUAAAAGUGCGGGGCUCAACCCCGUGAUGGGAAAGAAACUAUAUGUCUUGAGUACAGGAGAGGAAAGCGGAAUUCCCAGUGUAGCGGUGAAAUGCGUAGAUAUUGGGAGGAACACCAGUGGCGAAGGCGGCUUUCUGGACUGCAACUGACGCUGAGGCUCGAAAGCCAGGGGAGCGAACG